rnacentral:rRNA from 1 species
GACGAACGCUGGCGGCGUGCUUAACACAUGCAAGUCGAACGGAAAGGCCCUGCUUUUGUGGGGUGCUCGAGUGGCGAACGGGUGAGUAACACGUGAGUAACCUGCCCUUGACUUUGGGAUGACUUCAGGAAACUGGGGCUAAUACCGGAUAGGAGCUCCUGCUGCAUGGUGGGGGUUGGAAAGUUUCGGCGGUUGGGGAUGGACUCGCGGCUUAUCAGCUUGUUGGUGGGGUAGUGGCUUACCAAGGCUUUGACGGGUAGCCGGCCUGAGAGGGUGACCGGCGACAUUGGGACUGAGAUACGGCCCAGACUCCUACGGGAGGCAGCAGUGGGGAAUAUUGCACAAUGGGCGGAAGCCUGAUGCAGCAACGCCGCGUGCGGGAUGACGGCCUUCGGGUUGUAAACCGCUUUCGCCUGUGACGAAGCGUGAGUGACGGUAAUGGGUAAAGAAGCACCGGCUAACUACGUG